UGGCCAGGCCCCAGCAGACCUGAGUAUGACUGGGGAGGGGUUUAAACCCCUACCCUGGCCUGCAGAGGUGCUGCAGCCUACACAGGUCUGGAACUUUGCCUCAAGAUACAAGUAAUGAUGCAAAAGCCACUGCAGCUGAAGGAAGACUGAGACUGAUUUCAGUAGAGAUUAUUUUCCAUUUUGAUGGACUGCUGCAGAUCACAUUCAAAGACCAUCAAGUGCAUUUAAAUAAAGUUAUGGACAUGCCAAAACUGAAAGAAACUUGCAAGAAACUGAGAAGUAAGGCUGGCCAAAGAACUCAGACCAUUGUGGACAAGUAAGCCCUAAUGGCAUGAAUUAAUGAUGCUCCAGACUAAUGGCUGUCUUGGAGCUUCUCUGCUUAUCACAAUCUCACAAUUAUUUCAACAUAUUUUAGUGUGAUUUUCUUUUUCUAUAAAUGUUUAUAAAGGGAGUUUUAAAAGCAUAUUUCUUCUUGCCCAGGGGAGCCAUUCCAAUCUCUCAG